GGGCUUCACUCCCAGCCUCGCCCCAGCGACAAGGUGCUGUCCCUGGCUCUCUAUCUCACCUGUGUUUAUACCUGUAUUCUAAUCUAAUCCCCGGUGUGACUUAGAUUUUUCUCAGCUAUGGUUUCCAUGACAACGCUAAUUGUGUUCUGCUGUCUCGGAACUAUAACGGCAGCUGCGAAGAGCGGAAAUGCAACCAAAUCGGAAGAGCCGCCACAGGAAGAAACCGAUUACGUCAUAUUGGUCGUCAUAGGGGUCAGUGGGGUCAUCGUGAUCAUUGUGGUUGUCAUAGUGAUUGUUGUUAAGAAGAGAAGGAAGGCGAACAGUCGCGGCAGACGGCGACCCAAAGUCCGCUACAGCAAACCCUCGGCCGGCACCUCCGAAAGUUAACGAAGCUGUCAGAGAUUCUCCAAAUGGAAUAAAUUAUGCACAGGCGCAUUGAGCUUUUGAGUGAAAUGUUUUAUCAGAUUGGAAAAAAACCCCAGUUAUUGUGACGUCACAGUGUUCACAUAUAUGAUUGUGAAGUACCAAGUUUUUGUGAAGUUAUUGCAACUUUGUGAUCGGAAGUUUUCACUACUGAAUGAAUAUGAUAUGGGAACUAAACCAUUAUAUAUUUAAUUAAGCGGCUAUGACUGUCUCAAACAUCUUCAUUAGUUUAAUCAAUAUGUAUAUAUACACGUAUUGUAAACUUAAAAAAUAAAUUGCCCUCAAUAC
rnacentral:sRNA from 1 species